GAUCCUGGCUCAGAACGAACGCUGGCGGCGUGGAUAAGACAUGCAAGUCGAACGAGAGAAUUGCUAGCUUGCUAAUAAUUCUCUAGUGGCGCACGGGUGAGUAACACGUGAGUAACCUGCCCCCAAGAGUGGGAUAGCCCCGGGAAACCUGGGAUUAAUACCGCAUAAAAUCGCAAGAUUAAAGCAGCAAUGCGCUUGGGGAUGGGCUCGCGUCCUAUUAGUUAGUUGGUGAGGUAACGGCUC
rnacentral:rRNA from 1 species